UCUCAGGGAACAUACCUGGCAAUCUGCACUCCAAUUGCUUGGCUUUAAACUAUCUUCAAAACCUUCAAAAGACCAGUGAACACGAGUUCUUUUUCUUUUCACGAAGACCCUCCAAAAAAAUUCUCCUGCACCCUUUCUAUCUUUUUGUGUGUUUUCCAUUUUGGAAAGUUCAUUCUCUGUCUAAUUCUUAUGCAGCCAAGUUGAUCUCAUUUUCCCUCCAAAAAUAUUUU
rnacentral:lncRNA from 1 species